rnacentral:rRNA from 1 species
CCUACGGGUGGCAGCAGUGGGGAAUCUUGCGCAAUGGGCGAAAGCCUGACGCAGCAACGCCGCGUGGGGGAUGAAGCUUCUCGGAGUGUAAACCCCUUUCGACCCGGACGAAUGCCCGCAAGGGUUUGACGGUACGGGUAUAAGAAGCCCCGGCUAACUACGUGCCAGCAGCCGCGGUAAAACGUAGGGGGCCAGCGUUGCUCGGAAUUACUGGGCGUAAAGGGUCCGUAGGCGGUGUGGCAAGUCGGAAGUGAAAUCUCUGGGCUUAACUCAGAGGCUGCUCCCGAAACUGCUGUGCUCGAGUGCGAGAGAGGCGAGUGGAAUUGCGGGUGUAGCGGUGAAAUGCGUAGAUAUCCGCAGGAACAUCCGAGGCGAAAGCGGCUCGCUGGAUCGCAACUGACGCUGAGGGACGAAAGCUAGGGGAGCAAACAGGAUUAGAUACCCUUGUAGUC